UCUUUAUUAUUACCAGCAUUACAAAGAAAUAGAUGCAAUAUCAACUGAUUAUUUAAUUUAUCUACACUAAACAUAAAAUGAUCUAUUAUUAAUUAUUAAGGGUUAAUUAAUCAAUACUACAUACAUCAAUCCAAUAUUAAUUAUGAAUUAUUAUUAAUAAUACAUAUUAGAGAUAAACUAAUCCUAUAUUAUUAGUUAUUGAUUAUUAAUCAAUAUUACAAAGAAAUCAAUCCUAUAUUAUUAAUUAUUUAUUAUGAAUACUACAAAGUAACCAAUCCAAUAUUGUUAAUCAAGGUUACAAAUAAAAUAAUCCAAUAAUAUGUGUUAAUUAUUGAUUAUUAAUCAAUAUCACAAAGGAAUCAAUCUAUGUUAUCAAAUAUUAUUAAUUAUUAAUUACUCGAUAUUACAGAAACUUUUAUCCACCCUUUAUUAUUAUUUAUUAUUACUUAAUCAAUACUAGAGAGAUAUCAAUCCUAUGUCAAUGAUUUAUCAUUAAUUAAUCAAUAUCACAAAUUAUUCAUUCCAGUAUUAGUUACUGAUUAUUGAUUAUUGAUCAAUAUCACACAGGAAUCGGUCCAGCAUUAGUAAUUGAUUAUUGAUUAUUGAUCAGUAUCACACAGGAAUCGAUCCAAAGCGCGUUCCCUGUAACGUUUCCCGCUCGCCACGAGCUCUGAACGCGCCAAUCGCGGGUCUGUAAAAUCACAAACUAAUCACUAAUUACACAAUUAAUUAGUAAUGAAAUAAUAAUUAUAAUAGCAAUAAAAUCGGAGCAAUAAAAACAUGGACAAUGAGGGUCAGGACACCACGAGAUGAUAAAAAAUGAAGAAUUUUGGACAUCCGGGAGUUUUGGGCACUGUGAAAACACCAAUCAGUUGUUCUUGAAAUUUUAAAAGUUUAUUAGUAAUAAAAUAGUUAUAAAAAUAGAAAAAUAAAACUUAAAAUAAUAAAAAUAAUAAAAAAUAAAAUCAGAGUAAUAAAAAUCUGGACAAUGACAUUUAGGACACCACUAGGCGAUAAAAAGAAAAUAAUUUUGGAUGCCCAGAUGUUUUUGGGCACCGUGAAAAAUGCCAGUUCUGGUUCUUUAAAAUCUUUUACAAAUUACUGAUUCAAACAAGUUAAUUAGUAAUAGAAUAGUUCUAAAAAUAGCAAUAAAAUAGGAGUAAUAAAAAUGUGGAUGAUAAAAAAUGAAGAAUUUUGCACAUCCAAGAGUUUUUCAGCACUGUGAAAACACCGAUCAGUUGUUUCUGAAAUUUUAAAAGUUUAUUAGUAAUAAAGUAGUAAUUGAAAAAUAUAAAAAAUAUUAAAAAUAAAAAUAAAAUAAGAAGAAAAAUAUUAAAAUAAUAGUAAAAUAAAAUUUAAAAAUAAAGUCAGAGUAAUAAAAAUGUGGACAGCGAGGGUCAGGUACCACGAGAUGAUAAAAAAUAAAGAAUUUCGGACAUCCAGGAGUUUUUGGGCACUGAGGAAAAUAACAAUCAGUUGUUUUUUAAAUUUUAAAAGUUUAUUACUAAUAAAAUAGUGGUUAAAAAUAAAAUUAAUAAUAACAAAAAAAAUCAGAGUGAUAAAAAUGCGGACAAUGAGGAUGAGGACACCAUGAGAUGAUAAAAAAAUGAAGAAUUUUGGACAGCGAGGAGUUCUUGGGAAUUGUGAAAAACGCCACAUGCUGCUUUUUAAAAUGUUAAAAAAUUACUGAUUCAAAAGUUAAUUAGUAAUAAAAUAGUUAUAAAAAUAGCACUGAAAUUGGAGCAAUAAGAAUCUGGACAAUGAGGGUCACGAUGAUGACAAGACAAUAAAAAGCGAAGAAUUUCGGACAUCGGGAUGUUUUUGGGCCCUGUGGCAAAUGCCAGUCAGUUAGUUUUUAAAAUUGUACAAGUUUAUUAGUAAUAAAACAGUUAUUAAAAACCAGCGAUAAAAUCAGAGCAAGAACAAUGUGGCCAAUGCGGCUCAGGACAGUGACAGGACAAGAAAACAGCGAGGGAUUACGGACGUCCGGAUGGGUUUGGGCACUGAGCUGCCAAAACCACGCCUUGAACAAGGACUAACCCUAAAAGCAGCAGCCUGGUGCAUAUUCAUAGAUCUCAUGCGUGAUGCAUAAAUCCUGUCCCAUCAAAGAACCCUGAGCAGUGGCAGCCUCUGCUCAAUCCUGCGGCGCCUUCGGGGCUGAGCGAGGCAGGAAGAGUUAAUUGCCUUUAAUUAGGGAGCCCUUGUGGCAGCACAUUGCUCUGCCUCUCAGCAUUUCUCACAGAGGAGCACAGAGGAAACGAAAGAGAAAACAAUUUCUGUUUCUGCUCCUUGUUUUAGUAUGUGGAAUGUGUUUGGAGAAUUGUUUAACAAUUUCUUACCCAAAUUGUUGUGGGGUGGUUGCUGGGUUGGUUCUGGUGAGGAUCCUUUGAGCCUGGGGGCCAAUCCAACCCACCUGGGGCUGGAAUCUCAGAGAGGGUCACGAGUUGUGAGGAGUCAGAUUUGGGAGUUAGAAAAAGCAGGUUUGUAGUUUUAGUGUCUCCUUUAAACAGUAUAUUAAUAGAAAAAGCGGGUUUGCAGUUUUAGUGUCUCCUUUAAACAGUAUAUUAAUGUAUAUUAGUAUAGUUCUAAUAAAGAAACCAUUCAUCCUUCAGAGCUGGAGUCAGGCAUCGUCAUUUCUUCCCCCUGGCUCGCCUGCAUUUACAAUAAGCCGUAAAUUCUUUUUCUCUGGAAGAUUUCCGUGUCCUGCGGCUGCCGUCCCGGUGCAAGUACCUCAUUCCUUUCUUCCCACUCACAGUUUCUAUUUUAACCACAAAAGCUCCAUUUUAACCACAAAUCUACAUUUACCAUACCAAUAAAAUGUUAAUACAGCACUACUAAUCAAUGUAACAUAAUACAAACCCUAUUCCAUUUAAUACUUGCAAAAAGCCAACCAUAAAAUCUGCAUUUUUCCAUGAGGACAUCCCGAGGCUGCUGCAGGGACAGCGAUGUCACUGCUGUGACAUCAUCGGGGACGGUGACAUCAUCAGGGACAUCGCUGCUGUCACUUCUCCCCUCUCCCCUCCCCACGCGGGAUUUGAGACGAAUUCGGGGAAUUUUCUGGGAAUUUUCAUUGCAAUUGUCCCAAAUGCUGAUGGGAAUUCUGGGGUGACGUCACUGGGGACACUUGGGGACAUUCUGAGGACGCUCCAGGGACACUGAUGGGGGUGGCGGUGGGGCAGGGGCUGAAUGAGCCCCCUCGGUGCCUUGCAGCAGAGCCGGGUUAUAAAUGACAAUAGAAUAAUCGGCUUUUGAAAUUCUGAAUUGCCUUCUGCACGUUGUUAUUGAUCACAAGGAUUUUGCUGUGGUACUUGAUAUUGAUAUUGAUUACUGAUAAUUCCUUGCAGCUGCUCGCUGGUACAAUAAAAUCAAUCCGUUUAUGUGUGCACCGUAUAACAAAUUUACUGCUAGAGUAAUAAAUAGAUAUUAUAUCAUAGGCCUUAAUAUAUUAAAAACAGAUAAAUAAAAAACAGAUCAGUAAUAAAUACUGAAAUAGAGACUAUGCAAUGUUAAAAUGCUUUUGUGUGACUGACUCAGGUGUAAAACAAUUCCGUUGUUUUUCACAUCUGCGGACCAGCCUCACCAGCUGAUACCAGUGACACAAAGCUCAGAAGAAUUUAUGAAUUUAUCAGGGGGUCUGAAACAACAGGGUGGAACCAUGAGAAGAAAUCAAAUAUAUCGACUUAAUCUACAGAAUGUCCUGCAGACAAGUCAGAGGUGAGACCCAAACACGAGUUCCUGGGACAUCCAAACCUCCCGGGAGUGUUUGAAUAAUGUCGAAACUCAGGAGUGUGUUCGUGGCCCUGCAGUGGAACCGGAUCCAGAGAACGAAGGGUUAAGUUGAGGGCGAGUUCUUUGGCCGAGCCCAAAACCCUUUUUUAUCCCGGAUUAAACUUUGUUUAGUAAUCCCUUAGUGAACUUUGUUUUUCUCACCCGGCUGGGAUUUGGGGGGGCCGGGGGGUCCCUGGACAGCCCCCGCUGCUGAGCACUGACCCCCCCUCACCGAGCACUGGGACCCCCCAAAAACCGCACCCACACCCCUUCAGUGCCCCC
ensembl:lncRNA